AUGCGAUGAUGACUCCUUAGGACACCUUUGGAUUAAACAUGAAAAUAACAGAAGACUCACUGAGUUUC
ensembl:snoRNA SNORD58 Small nucleolar RNA SNORD58